AGCGAACGCUGGCGGCAGGCCUAACACAUGCAAGUCGAACGAAGUCUUCGGACUUAGUGGCGGACGGGUGAGUAACACGUGGGAACGUGCCUUUAGGUUCGGAAUAACUCAGGGAAACUUGUGCUAAUACCGAAUGUGCCCUUCGGGGGAAAGAUUUAUCGCCUUUAGAGCGGCCCGCGUCUGAUUAGCUAGUUGGUGAGGUAAAGGCUCACCAAGGCUACGAUCAGUAGCUGGUCUGAGGGGAUGACCAGCCACAUUGGGACUGAGACACGGGCCAAACUCCUACGGGAGGCAGCAGUGGGGAAUCUUGCGCAAUGGGCGAAAGCCUGACGCAGCCAUGCCGCGUGGAUGAUGAAGGUCUUAGGAUUGUAAAAUCCUUUCACCGGUGAAGAUAAUGACUGUAGCCGGAGAAGAAGCCCCGGCUAACUUCGUGCCAGCCGCCGCGGUAAAAC
rnacentral:rRNA from 1 species